rnacentral:rRNA from 1 species
GAAUGCUGACAUAAGUAACGAUAAAGCGGGUGAAAAGCCCGCUCGCCGGAAGACCAAGGGUUCCUGUCCAACGUUAAUCGGGGCAGGGUGAGUCGACCCCUAAGGCGAGGCCGAAAGGCGUAGUCGAUGGGAAACGGGUUAAUAUUCCCGUACUUGGUGUUACUGCGAAGGGGGGACGGAGAAGGCUAUGUUGGCCGGGCGACGGUUGUCCCGGUUUAAGCGUGUAGGUGUGUGUUCCAGGUAAAUCCGGUUCACUUUAACACUGAGGCGUGAUGACGAGGCACUACGGUGCUGAAGCAACAAAUGCCCUGCUUCCAGGAAAAGCCUCUAAGCAUCAGGUAACAUCAAAUCGUACCCCAAACCGACACAGGUGGUCAGGUAGAGAAUACCAAGGCGCUUGAGAGAACUCGGGUGAAGGAACUAGGCAAAAUGGUGCCGUAACUUCGGGAGAAGGCACGCUGACACGUAGGUGAAGUGAUUUACUCAUGGAGCUGAAGUCAGUCGAAGAUACCAGCUGGCUGCAACUGUUUAUUAAAAACACAGCACUGUGCAAACACGAAAGUGGACGUAUACGGUGUGACGCCUGCCCGGUGCCGGAAGGUUAAUUGAUGGGGUCAGCGCAAGCGAAGCUCCUGAUCGAAGCCCCGGUAAACGGCGGCCGUAACUAUAACGGUCCUAAGGUAGCGAAAUUCCUUGUCGGGUAAGUUCCGACCUGCACGAAUGGCGUAAUGAUGGCCAGGCUGUCUCCACCCGAGACUCAGUGAAAUUGAACUCGCUGUGAAGAUGCAGUGUACCCGCGGCAAGACGGAAAGACCCCGUGAACCUUUACUAUAGCUUGACACUGAACAUUGAGCCUUGAUGUGUAGGAUAGGUGGGAGGCUUUGAAGUGUGGACGCCAGUCUGCAUGGAGCCGACCUUGAAAUACCACCCUUUAAUGUUUGAUGUUCUAACGUGGACCCGUAAUCCGGGUUGCGGACAGUGUCUGGUGGGUAGUUUGACUGGGGCGGUCUCCUCCUAAAGAGUAACGGAGGAGCACGAAGGUUGGCUAAUCCUGGUCGGACAUCAGGAGGUUAGUGCAAUGGCAUAAGCCAGCUUGACUGCGAGCGUGACGGCGCGAGCAGGUGCGAAAGCAGGUCAUAGUGAUCCGGUGGUUCUGAAUGGAAGGGCCAUCGCUCAACGGAUAAAAGGUACUCCGGGGAUAACAGGCUGAUACCGCCCAAGAGUUCAUAUCGACGGCGGUGUUUGGCACCUCGAUGUCGGCUCAUCACAUCCUGGGGCUGAAGUAGGUCCCAAGGGUAUGGCUGUUCGCCAUUUAAAGUGGUACGCGAGCUGGGUUUAGAACGUCGUGAGACAGUUCGGUCCCUAUCUGCCGUGGGCGCUGGAGAACUGAGGGGGGCUGCUCCUAGUACGAGAGGACCGGAGUGGACGCAUCACUGGUGUUCGGGUUGUCAUGCCAAUGGCACUGCCCGGUAGCUAAAUGCGGAAGAGAUAAGUGCUGAAAGCAUCUAAGCACGAAACUUGCCCCGAGAUGAGUUCUCCCUGAGACUUAGAGUCUCCUGAAGGAACGUUGAAGACGACGACGUUGAUAGGCCGGGUGUGUAAGCGCAGCGAUGCGUUGAGCUAACCGGUACUAAUGAACCGUGAGGCUUAACCUUACAACGCCGAAG